UACGAAGGGGCUAGCGUUGCUCGGAAUGACUGGGCGUAAAGGCGCGUAGGCGGUUUGUACAGUCAGAUGUGAAAUUCCCCGGGCUCACAGGGUGGCUGCAUUUGAUACGUGCGGACUUGAGUGGGAAGAGGGUCGUGGAAUUCCAGUGUAGAGGUGAAAUUCGUAGAUAUUGGGAAGAACACCGGUGGCGAAGGCGGGUCUCUGGGCCGAUAUUGACGCUGAGGAGCGAAGCGU
rnacentral:rRNA from 1 species